ensembl:lncRNA
ACAAGUUAAAGAGAAAUGAUGAGUCUUUGUGCCAAAACGAAAAAUACAAACACAAAUGAAUGUGCUAGUGUUAGCUAUGGUUUUCUAUUUUCUAUGCAAUUAGAAUAGCCAUGUGAAAUAAUUAAACAGUGACAACAUGUACUCCUCGUACUGUUGCAUAAUAGCUUCCCAUGAAUUUAUUAAUCAAUGUAUAGCUGUUGAAAUAUUCAAUAUGUUGUGCUGGGGCAUUCCACUCUUGUCCCCAGGGUGAACUCCUUUCCUAUUGCUCUGGCUCACUCAGCAUCAGUACUGUUGACAUUUUCAAUGAUACUACAGUUUUAUCUUUGAGAUUUUUUGAAGAAAAAAUGUUGCAACAAAGACAAAAUACAUCAAACGAGAUGUCCAGCUGUCCACAGAAACAAAGGCCUAUCUUCUGUAAGUGACAUUCAACUAAUUCAAGGGUCUUUGCCCAGAGCGCCAAAUACCAAAGGCAUGAUGUGUAACACCACCUUUCCUGUUGGGCUGAUUUCUCCUGUUCCACAGCAGCGCCCAAGAAGUCCUGUGCCUGUAGUAAUUUGGUCUGCAAGAGGAGUCUGUAAGACAAAAUUGAAUGGAAAGUGCUGUAUUCUUUUUACAAUUAAUUCAUGCAAUUUUCAAAUUGACUUUCAAAAAAGCACCAGACACACCCGAGGAAAUAAACCAAUGAUGUGAAUUGCUGCCUGAAACCAUUAUAUAGGUAAUAGCUUGCAUUUAUUGUGGUGGUG